UACGUAGGGGGCAAGCGUUGUCCGGAUUUAUUGGGCGUAAAGAGCGUGUAGGCGGCCUGACAAGUCAGCUGUGAAAACUCGAGGCUCAACCUCGAGACGUCGGUUGAAACCAUCUGGCUAGAGUCCGGAAGAGGAGAGUGGAAUUCCCGGUGUAGCGGUGAAAUGCGCAGAUAUCGGGAAGAACACCCGUGGCGAAGGCGGCUCGCUGGGACGGUACUGACGCUGAGACGCGAAAGCGUGGGGAGCGAACAGG
rnacentral:rRNA from 1 species